GGCCUCACUCACGGCAUAUGGAACUAACCACGCCCCUAACUAAGAAGGCACACCUUAGUUGCAGUUAGCACACAAUUAAAGCAACUCUCCAAGUUUUACCUUAAAGUUCAAAAUUGCUAGGAGUUGAAACUACUAGAAAUAUAUUUACAUGCAAGAGUCAAAGAAACUUUGAACUAUUUAUGGCCUUUAAUAAUUAAGUAAGGUAUACUCCUGUGAUCAAGACUUGGAGCAUAUUUGUUUCUCUCUGCCUGGUUCCUCUAGAAAUUGGAAACUAUCAUGUGUGACACAUGUGCUCAUGGAUUAUUGUCCGAAGCAAGACAUGUGACCAAGCCUAACAUCAACUGGGUGAAGAGCUAUAUGUUCCUUUCUCAAGAGGCACUACAAGUGACAUGCCACUGGGCAGUUUAGCAAAAGCUGGAGGUGCCUUGACAUUUGCAGUACACUGAAACAGUGGCUGGCUUGAAAAAUCCCAAAACGAUUUUCUGCAGGAGAGCCCUUUUGACUAAUAUGAGGGCAGUGAAAAGACUCCAUUUAUGAAACAGGAAAUGAGCCCUCAUCAGACACUGAAUCUGCCGGCACAUUGAUCUUCGACUUCUGCCUUCAGAACCAUGAAAGGGUGAGGCAAUGAAAAGCCAAUCUGUAAUUGUCUGCUCUUUCUUACCCUGCUGCUAACUACUGA